UGGGGAAUUUUGGGCAAUGGGCGCAAGCCUGACCCAGCAACGCCGCGUGAGGGAGGAAAUCCUUCGGGAUGUAAACCUCAUAAGUAAGGGAAGAGUACAGACGACUUAAUACGUGGUCUGUUCGACGGUACCUUACGUAAGCCACGGCUAACUACGUGCCAGCAGCCGCGGUAAUACGUAGGGACCAAGCGUUGUUCGGAUUUACUGGGCGUAAAGGGCGCGUAGGCGGCAAUUCAAGUCAGCUGUGAAAUCUCCGGGCUUAACUCGGAACGGUCAGCUGAUACUGCUUUGCUAGAGUGCAGAAGGGGCAAUCGGAAUUCUUGGUGUAGCGGUGAAAUGCGUAGAUAUCAAGAGGAACACCUGAGGUGAAGACGGGUUGCUGGGCUGACACUGACGCUGAGUGCGCGAAAGCUAGGGUAGCAAAC
rnacentral:rRNA from 1 species